rnacentral:rRNA from 1 species
CCUACGGGGGGCUGCAGUGGGGAAUAUUGGACAAUGGGGGCAACCCUGAUCCAGCCAUGCCGCGUGUGUGAAGAAGGCCCUCGGGUUGUAAAGCACUUUCAGUGAGGAAGAACGCCUGGUGGUUAAUACCCAUCAGGAAAGACAUCACUCACAGAAGAAGCACCGGCUAACUCCGUGCCAGCAGCCGCGGUAAUACGGAGGGUGCGAGCGUUAAUCGGAAUUACUGGGCGUAAAGCGCGCGUAGGUGGCUUGAUAAGCCGGUUGUGAAAGCCCCGGGCUCAACCUGGGAACGGCAUCCGGAACUGUCAAGCUAGAGUGCAGGAGAGGAAGGUAGAAUUCCCGGUGUAGCAGUGAAAUGCGUAGAGAUCGGGAGGAAUACCAGUGGCGAAGGCGGCCUUCUGGACUGACACUGACACUGAGGUGCGAAAGCGUGGGUAGCAAACAGGAUUAGAUACCCUUGUAGUC